CAGGUUUUUACGGGACAAAAAGAGAUAGGCCACACAUGACUUUGGAUUUAAAUGAAACUGAUCUGAGGGCUGGGCUUAAACCCAUAUUCGUGAAUCACACCUGAUAACUCACCCUUCUUCAUUCCUUCCUCUCCUUUCUCUUUCUCUCGAUCUGUAAGUUUGAGAAACCCAGGCGAGGAUCAAAACCCGUCCUUUCGACCACUCCGAAGACACCCAUUUCCUCUUCUCAAUCGAUUUUGCAUGAUCUAAGGUUCCCCAACUCCUCCUAUAUUUAACUCCCUCUUCAUCACCCAAAAACCAUUCUUCAUCCAAUCAUGUCUCACUUGAUGGCUCUCUCUCAGUUGGUGAAUUGAUAGAGAGAAGGCUAUUAUAAUCAAAGCAACGAUUCCGAUUGAACUGAGGUAGUGAGAGAGCUGCUGGGUUCCGAUGAGUUCGAAGCUACUCUCGGUCGGAGAUGUGGUGGUGGUUGUGUUGCUGUGCACCUCACCUGGGUUUAGAGAUUAGAGAGAAAGAGAAAGAGGCAGCACUGGAUCUCCCAAUAAAGGCUCUUUCUUCAAUCUGAAGAUUUCAUAGCAGGUGUUCCCAAAUCCAUAAUGGACAUACUAGCCACUGUGCGGCCAGAUCUUAUAGUAUCUAUUGCGUUUAUCUUUUGAUAUGUAGUUAUCAGCACUUCAGAUUCAUUUUCAGUGGUUACCCGAUCCCGACUUUGCUAUUUUGUCAGGAUGAGGUCACCAAUUCUGAAGGAACCAAUAUGCGGUUACUAGUUAGCAAACAAGAAGAAUCAAAGUAUUAUUACUUGUUGUGGUUGGAUUAUUUAUAGCACAUCUGUUGAGCAGUGCUUGUAUUUGCUGGUUGAGUGAGAUCAUCCUAGAGAAUGACUGUUUUUGCUGAUCUACAUGAUUACUGGUAAUGGUACUACUUCUACCAAAGAACUUAUAGUGGGAUAUCCUAGUCUUCCUGUGGAAAAGUGCUGGCCAAUUACCAAAUGCAUCAAUUGGUAAGAG